UACGUAGGUGGCAAGCGUUGUCCGGAUUUACUGGGCGUAAAGAGCGCGCAGGCGGUCGUUCAAGUCGCGUGUGAAAGCCCCCGGCUCAACUGGGGAGGGUCACGCGAUACUGAUCGACUGGAAGGCAGGAGAGGGUAGUGGAACUCCCGGUGUAGUGGUGAAAUGCGUAGAUAUCGGGAGGAACACCAGUGGCGAAGGCGACUACCUGGCCUGUUCUUGACGCUGAGGCGCGAAAGCUAGGGGAGCAAACGGG
rnacentral:rRNA from 1 species